UAACUCUGGCGUCUUCUCAUUUGCGGAUAAAUCUUUUGCCUUUUACUAAAGAUUUCCGUGGGGAGAAACAAUACAGUUAGUCUUGCCUCAUUUUUUCAGCUGUCUCCGGACGGAG
rnacentral:snRNA from 1 species